rnacentral:lncRNA from 1 species
AGGGAGGAUGCUAGCAAUUGUGAGAAAAUCCAGAAACACUUCAGGUAAAACAGAGUUUUUCAUCUAAAAUCUGUGAACAACCAAUACCACCUCUCCCCUCUAGAUGUAAGAGUCUCCAUAAAUUUGGCUCACUCUCUCUCUCUUAAGAGAAAACAAGUGGGGACCAUAAUAGACAACAACCUCCUCUUGACUUUGAACUACAACUAGAGGGAAUCCCACUAUUCCGGAAAAGCUCAAGGAGAGGAUGGAUACUUGAAGACUUAAAGCAAGAGCUCGCUGAGCUGGGCAUUCCCUUAGAUGACCUACCUGGGUUAGAAGCAAGUGGGGAGUCACUUGAUAUUGAAGCUUUAUUACCAUCCAUCUUUGCUGCCUGCUUUUGUGGGUGUCCUCUGAAUACAAGGACUGUGUUGCAUCCCUGCUCUCCUUCAGCCAUCUCCAGAGCAGUCAACCUAAAGUUCCCUCAAUCAGAACCUAGGAAGAAGCCAGAACCAGCCAUAGUUAAAGCCCCAAGUACAUCAGUCUCAUCUUCAUCCUUCCAUUGGCUCAGUUCCAGCUUAUGA